rnacentral:rRNA from 1 species
AUUGAACGCUGGCGGCAGGCCUAACACAUGCAAGUCGAGCGGAUGAAGGGAGCUUGCUCCUGGAUUCAGCGGCGGACGGGUGAGUAAUGCCUAUGAAUCUGCCUUGUAGUGGGGGAUAACGUCCUGAAACGGGCGCUAAUACCGCAUACGUCCUGAGGGAGAAAGUGGGGGAUCUUCGGACCUCUCGCUAUCAGAUGAGCCUAGGUCGGAUUAGCUAGUUGGUGGGGUAAAGGCCUACCAAGGCGACGAUCCGUAACUGGGCUGAGAGGAUGAUCAGUCACACGGGAAGUGAGACAGGGCCCAGACUCCGACGGGAGGCAGCAGUGGGGAAUAUUAGACGAGGGGGGAGAGCCUGAUCCAGGCAUGCCGCGUGUGUGAAGAAGGUCUUGGGAUUGGAAAGCAAUUUAAGUUGGGGGGAAGGGCAGUAAGUUAAUACCUUGCUGUAUUGACGGUACCGACAGAAUAAGCACCGGCUAACUUCGUG